AAAAACACACUUCAGUAUUAUGUGAGGGUUUUUUCAAGGACCGUUGCUGUUAGAAGAAUUGCAGCUUCAAUGAAGCCGACCAUCCAUUUUCCUGCUUCACUUCUAUUCGCCUUUACCCAGGCUUGUGAUCUCGUAUACUACUAUUAAUUCUCAUGUUUUACUGGAUUUUAUGGUAUUAUAUAGUUUAGUGCUUACUUUCUGUUUAACGGGCGUGUCAAUAAGUAUGUUUUUAUUUGUUAAUUAAGUUCAAUCAAACAAGUAAGGAGAGGGAGAGAGUGAUGCAUGUGUCUUUAUUCCCAAAAGCAUGUAAACCAGCUAAUGUUAGACAUAACAUAUUUCUGAAACCGUGUUUGGUACGGCCACAUCAUUUUCUAUGAAAAUGUUUUUCACAAAGUAGAAAAUAUGGAUGAGGACAGGUAAUUUGGAUCAUUGAGCUAGAAAUGUUGUAGGGAUUUCCUUGGAAACUCUUAGCUUAAUUAGUGAUUCGUUUCUGGUCUUAGGUUUCCUAAUCUGAUACUAGUAUGGUAUUGUUCAGUUUGUUUCGUUUACUUUGAUAAGGGGAAUAAUAGAGAAACGAGAAGAUGCUGUGCGAAGAGGAAUUUCAGACAACAAGAUUAGAAAAUACAGUAUCACAUUUCAGAGAGAUUGCAUACGUAAUUUACGAUGGUCGGAGCUGUAACGCGAGAUUUUAUGAUUCUAAGGAAGUACGGUGCAAUCUUUCUCAAGAAUAUAAUAUGGAUUUUUCCCUACUCCAGGUAUGUUAAGGCUAUCCCUUCUUUUAUUUGGCAUGAUCCAUACGAUACAACGAAACGAGCAAAUGCACAAUUUUCAUAAAUGACUCUCUUCGUAGAAAUACUAGAGAUGCUUAUGUUCUUGAUUCCCCAUGUGUCAUAUUAUUCUAUCAUUUGUUCAUGUAUCUCAGAAAAAUACGUAAGUUGAAAAAAGUUUACUUCAUGAUAUUAAUCAGAGGUAUAAUGGUCUUAUGACAUUCCGAGAUAUUUUAUUAACGUACUUCUCAUGCAUUGCAUUCAUUUACAUGUGCAUUUACUCAUGACUCAGACGGCCUUAUAUACGCG
rnacentral:lncRNA from 1 species